rnacentral:lncRNA from 1 species
AGACUUUUAAAAAGUACACCGUGUCUGACCAAGCUGCACAUGUCUGACCAAGAUAGAUUAACAAGGUCCAGAUUUCUCCUCAUGCCUGAAACACGGCAGUGAGGCUGGGGGAGGGGCGCCCACCAUUGCCCAGGUUUGCUUAGGUAAACAAAGCAGCCGGAAAGCUCCAACUGGGUGGAGACCACCACAGCUCAAGGAGGCCUGCCUGCCUCUGUAGGCUCCACCUCUGGGGGCAGGGCACAGACAAACAAAAAGGACAAGCAAAUGCUGAGAGAUAUUGUCACCACCAGGCCUGCCCUAAAAGAGCUGCUGAAGGAUGCACUAAACAUGGAAAGGAACAACUGGUACCAGCUGCUGCAAAAUCAUGCCAAAAUGUAAAGACCAUCGAGACUAGGAUAUCAUCUCACACCAGUUAGAAUGGCAAUCAUUAAAAAGUCAGGAAACAACAGGUGCUGGAGAGGAUGUGGAGAAAUAGGAACACUUUUACACUGUUGGUGGGACUGUAAACUAGUUCAACCAUUGUGGAAGUCAGUGUGGUGAUUCCUCAGGGAUCUAGAAUUAGAAAUACCAUUUGACCC